CUGGGGCAACUUCCAGGCCCUGUGGAUCAACCAGGAGUUCCCCAUGUUCUAAUUUGCUGGCACCUCCCAUGGAAGCGAACAGUCUCCCUCCUAGGCUCCUGGAAACCUUCUCUUUUGCAAAGUGACCCUGUAGGGGGAGACAAAGGCACACAGGUGAUGGCAGUGAGUCUUAGAGGGUACAAGGAGCCAGAGUUUGUGACCUGUUGGCAUUGCCUUCAAGAAUUCAAGAAACUGUCCCACUGGGAGGAAGCAUUCAAAGAAGACACCAAUGGAAAGUUUGGGGGACACAGAGAUGAAAAACUAUGAAAGAUCUUAGCUGAAAACAUUAUUGUGUAUAACA
rnacentral:lncRNA from 1 species